UCACUUGUGGUAAAAAAUGCCAUUUCAC
rnacentral:sRNA from 1 species